UCCCUAUCUAGAAUAUCCUGAUUCGAGAUAUAUGAAAUGGAAGACCUCGGUCCAGGCCUGAUCUAGUUGGGUACUAGAUCUUGGAUUUUUUAGAGGUGUUUUCAGAGGUGUUCUUCAUCUGAAACAAAAGACUGACGAAGAAGACAGCAACCAGGCUGAUUUCGUCAAGAGCCUUAGAUCGUGUCCAGAAGUCUCCAGAUCUGUUCGUUGCUGGUUCUGCUACACCCA
rnacentral:lncRNA from 1 species